UGGUAAAUUUUUUUUCUUGGAGAGAAUCACUGAAUCUGAGAUGAGUGAAAAUAAACUAUAACUGUUACAAAUUUAAAAAAAUUUUUUAAACUGACUUUGUGCCUGCAUAAACAGGUGUUGCACUCCUGGAAUGUUAGAAGAAGGGUGUGUGGUUCUGGCAGCUUGUUUCCACAAGGUGUCUUUAGAAAGGUCCAUUUCUUACCUGUCUGGCUGGUGAAGGUACAUGUCCAUUUCUGCCUUUAGAGGGUGAGAGUAAACUUACCAUGUGCCACUGACCAGACAUCUGGUUUCAGUCUUAUUUUCCAAAUGCACGAAGUCUAACUUUGUUUCUUAUCUUUAUCUUCUUUAACAUAUCUUUGGGCUAUGGGAUUUUGCUGAUUUUUAGGCCAUGAUCAUUAGUUCACAUUUUGUCAGUCUUACACGCACUGUGGAAGGUUUUGGUUCUAUAUUUUAUGGUUGCUUUGACUGUCUUCAACAAUAUGCCUAUAUAAUGAAAGUACAGGCAGAUGUGAUCUAGGGGAAGACUCAAUAAAUAACACCCUUUUUCUAAACUCAGACUCGGAACCAAUAGAAAUAGAGAAAUGGCAGGCAGGUGGAGACCAAAUGUCAGUUUAAUCAAUGCUGAUGAAGCUGUUGGAGAACGAUGUAUCUUAGUGUGAAAGCCUAAUGCACCUGCCUUCUAACUGAUAUCCAGGUUCAAUGCCUGGUUGCUUAUAAGCUGCACUUAAAACAAUUGCAACAACACAAAGAAUCUAAAUAGUUACCAGGACAUAUAAAAUUUUCAAAGUUUGGCCCUACAUCCUCAAAAUUUAGAAAGCAGGCCAAUCCCCAGCCCCUAGCAGAUGCCAGGGAAAGUUUUGUCACAGAAACCUGUCAAAAGACCCUGACACUCAGUGAUGUCUGAGGGAAGGUGAAUAGGCUGAAAAGGUCUUAAUUUGAUUUUGCUGGGACUCAAGUAAUUCUAUACCAGUUAUUGUCUCCAGCUUGUGAACUCAGUUGGGAGAACCACCCAUUAAGAGGUUAAUUAUGACUUGAAGUUUGUUCUGUCCUGAGGGGCAUCUACCUGUGUCCAGUCUUGUGUGUAGACAGUGGUAUUUAAGACCAUGCUGCCGUCUUGGAGUGUUAAUUGACAGCAGUAGUGGCAGCCCCAACCAGGUCUUCUUUGAGGUGCCUUUCUUUUUCAUCCAGCAUAUUUAAAUUACUUAAUAUCAUCUCCCCUUUGGGUCCUGUGUUUCUGGCAUGUCGGGGCUGCAUUGAGGGUGGGCUCUAAUCUCACAGCUUCCCUAGCCCACUGUGAGCAGUCCUCAGGGCCACUGCCUUCUCAGUGUUCCAGGAGUUGCUCAGGUCCAGGACACCUGCUACUGAAGGGGUGCGAGGAGGAGGGGAGGUGUUCCUUGACCCCGCACAUUUCAGUCGAGAAUCACUGUCUGCAGGUUUUUCACCUGAAGCUGCUGUUCUUCUGAAGAUUGUUCUUCCAGGGACCAAGUGAGAAUCAAGACCUCUGCCAUGUGUUCCUCAAGAUACUGUACUCAGCUUCUGGAUGGGUCAGGAGACAUAGCAAAGCCCAGAAAUAUGGAUAUGACCACUAAUAAACACAAAAGGGCUAAAAGCUGGGAAACAUGCAUCCAGAAAUACAUUUGCAUUCAUCAGCCACCAACUUGGAACGUGAAACACGGACAUAUAGAUCAAGGAGAUAGAAGAAAGUGUGAAAAAAAAGACAAAGGUACACACAAGAAUCACAAUAUUCUGGGUAGCCUUUGUCUUUGGAGAGAGGCUGAAGAUGUGUCUAGGGCUGUGAAUAUAUUUAACUUGCUGUUUGUGCCUGUAGAGAAAAAGCACCAUGGAACUACUAGUCCAGACUAAGAUCCCCAAGCACACCACAUCAAUGGAAGCAUGCAGAAAGGCAAAGAGUGAGGAGGUGACAGGAUUAACAACAGCACAGGAACAGUAUCCAAAAUAGUUCAGAGCGUUGUUUCUUAUCUUCCUUGGGCCAGUCACUUUCAGAGGAACCACUAUGUUUCCCAGAAGAUGCACCCCCCAGCAAAGGAAAUAGAAAGGCCUAAUAUACUUUAGGACUCUGACUUUGAGCUCAGCCCACUUGGAUUUACUGUGAAUGAUUGUGAUGGCCUGGAAAACACUCAGGAAGCAAGUGGAAGAGAGACAGAUUUCCCAGGCCACCCUGUGAAUACAAAACAAAAAUUUACAUCCAUAGUCCUCCAGGAAAUUGUUCCACCCAAAAGAUACCAUUGUCUGAGGGAUUCCCUUGGAGAGAAGGACGAAACAGUUGGCUAAGAACACAUGUUUGAAUAUAUGGUCUGAGGGUCUUGCCCUGUUUCCUGUGUGGAAAUUGAAAGUAUAAAUCAAAAGGAAGGAGGAAUUCCCCAGAAUUUCAACACCAUUCUGGGACAGGAAGAAAAUCCCCAAUGUCAAGUCCCCAGAAUCCAUCUAUUCACAGGAGUGGGAUGCUUCAUCUGGGAACGGAAGCAGAGAGAGAAGGAAGACAGGGAGAAAAACAAGGGAAGGGGAUAAUGAUAACGGUUUUCCAGUGACUGAUCCUGUCUCAGGCCAAUAAAUACUUAACCAAAGAGGAUACAAAUAGUGCUGCAAGCCUGAAUUCACAGGCACCCGAGUGGAUCUUGUUCUCAUUUAAAAAAAUACAUUGACUCAUCCAGCCAAAGCCCAGAGGGAAGAUCAUCCAGAGAACCUUCUAUAUCCUAUUCAUGACAUCCAGUUGGCGUGAUGUCAUCAGUAUAGCGGGAUGUCAGAAUGAUCAAAAUCCCUUUGGGUUACAUUGUGACCUAGAACAGAAGAGUUGUCCUAGCCCUGUGGAAAGAGUCGAAAGUGAACUGCUUUCUUAUCCAGGGCUCGGCUGAGACCUAACCUGGCGACUGGUCUGGAGCCUUGAGGAGGGUCGUACAUGGGAUUUGAGGUUGCAGAUAUCAUCCUGGGAGGCAGCCACCUCAGGAGGCCUUUGUGUGGCCACAAGGUAACAGGAGCCUGCACUCUUCUAGCAAAGGUGAGAGAACCACUUUUAUAGUAAACUUGGGGGAUUUCUAGGGGAACCCAGGGGCUCAGGAGUCUCAGGGAAAACCUCAUACACACUCCUCACCUUGGUGUCAGGUCCUUCUCCUUCAGCUUUAAGGGUCUAAUUUAGCAGAGAAGACCUGUAAGUUCUGUGCGUUCCACAUCAUUUUAACUCCACUGCCUUUAUCAUUAAACCCUGGCCUAAAAUUUAGCCCAGUUUGCCUUCUUGCUACAGGAGAUGAGGGUCUGUUUAAAAUGCUGCAUGGCAAGAUUUCUGGCUUUCACAGUGUUUCCUUAGGUUAUGGAUGGCCAAACACGCAAUUCCAAAAUGCUUUCAAUCACUCUUUCCCCCAUGCAGUUCAAAUGCUGAACUAAUACAUAAACCAGUGCUUCCCUUUCCGUCCGUACCUCAUCCCAGUCCACCACAUGCCUUUCCAGUGCUCCCUGUGUGGCACUUAACACCCACAAAACAGUCCUCAUGAUUCUGGGCAUCUUCGCUCAUGUGGCCUGAGAGUUGCUGAUUUUCUUUCACCAGGAUGGUGGAGCCAACUAAAGUAACCAAAACUUCUAAUAUGGAGAGAAAUGAUAGGUUUUCCUAAAUUACUUUCUAUACAAGAGAAAGUAUAUCAAUCAUAAAGUAGAAUUACAGUUUUUAAAAGACUGAUCUUUUUAAAAAGCCCUUAGAAAAAUCAUAGUUACCUUCAAAAGACAAUUUAAGUACCUGUUCUGCUAAGGAUGGACAAAAAUUUCCACCAGAAAAAGAAUGAAAUUAAAUUGCAACAGGUGAGUAGACGCUACAUGGAGGAAUGUGGCAAAAUCAUCUUCCCCUUCCGUACUAGAGGUAUCAGUGCCCUUUGCAUCUAGCUGGAGUCUGAGUACCCAUCACCCAUGGACUGCUGCCCACACCAAGUCCUGUGUGUGACUGCUGUCAGGAAAAGUCACAAAGCUGGACCUGACUCAGGGAGCAGAGAAACAGUCCUCAACCUGAUGGGAGGACCUAGAAGUCUCAUUGUAAAGGAGCACCCUGACAAGGAGGCUCAGAUAACUGUAACCCAUUUUUGCAGUCUGCUCCAAGUCUAGAUGUUUUGCCCUCCCUAGAAACAACUACCACUGAACAUUCAAAUGUUUAUCAAUUGUCUAUAAUUAGACACUUCCGUAAUUUGCAUACUUCCCCCUAGAACAGCAAAAGUCUAUUGAAUGUGUAAAGUUGUUUAGUAACUGGUGAGGGUCACUUGAGAAAGCCUCCUGGAAGCCUCAUCUUGAAUUCCUCGGGUUCAUCAAAUGUUUAACUGAAAAAUGUUGAUUUGUCCAGAAAAAGGCAAGAGACAGGUUGGGAUCGUGCAGCAAUACAUAUUAUAUAUUUUGGGAUAUUUUGUCAUGUCCUCUUGAACAAAAAUAUCUAAUUCUAUUUUUCCUAGGGCAGGAAAAUAUAAAACACAACUAAACCUCUUCCAACACCUAAGUGAGAUCCCUGAUUGUUACUUCAUUCUUCAUUUAUGUCCGAUGUGACUCACGUUUGUCUUGUCCUUUGGAAUGUUGCUCCUGGGACAAACGAGUGUAUUUAAAACAUGGCUAAAAUUCACAAGCACCCUCAAGAGAAGUCAUUUUUUCCUACCUUUGCUGGUGUCAAGGAAAUAUAAUUUUAAAAUAUUCCAACCCAGGAAACCUCUCUAUAAAGGUUGAAGAAAAAGAAAAUUUUAUUAUUGAAUAAGCAAUAAACUAGAACGUGAUGUACAUCACUGGUCAUCCACUAAGAGGUUGCCAAGACAGAAAGAAAUCUCAUUCUUUUAUUUUUAUUUUUUAGAAGGGGACUGGUUAUUAGGUUUAUUUAUUUAUUUUUUUAAUGGAGGUACUGGGGAGUAAGUCCAGGAUCUCGUUCAUGCUAAGCACACACUCUACCCCUGAGCUGUAUCCUGCCCCCCACAAUCUCACUCUUUUACAGUGGCUAAGCAGAUACAACCCAUUACAUACAUGUUCUCCAGAUACACAGUAACUAGUCAUCAAACAAUAGUCCUCAGACAAUGACUCGUCCUCAAGCAGGACUUGACAGCAGCUUUACUGCAGAUAGUUCAUCCUAAAUUCACCUGUAAUUGGGGUGGCCAUCUAUAUUAGUUUAUUGAUUUUAUAUGAAGGAAAAACAGACUUCUCCUGUCUUUAGGACAGGAGAUAGUUUUGCAACUGCAAGCCAGGUCCCUGCCAAAGGUAGGUGCCUGCCCUCCCCCAGAAAUUGGGAGAAAAGGGUGCUGUCUUCCCUUGAUGCUUACAUUUCAAAAAGAUGACUCCCAGGUCCCUGCGAAGGGCAUUCCUGGAUCAUAAUGCUGGCAAGAGGUUUAUUUUGCUUCUAAAAAGAUGUAUCUGCAUCUGGAAGAGGCAGAGAAUGAACUUACCAUUACAAAAUUUCUUAAGUAAAAUGCUCUAAGAUAAGGGAAGGGAAGGAAAUUUCUCCUGUACUUCCAACGGAGAAAAUUAAGCCUCAUUUUUCCUUUGUAUUUGCCCAGACCUCAAGCAGGAGAUCUUCUUUGUUGGCUGUGGUUAUCAGUAACCAUGGCAUUCAGAGUACUUCCAAAUCUCCUCAGGUUAGAAAGGACUCGCCCAUUCCUUCACUCAUCAGAUUAUAAUUAAAUCCUAGGUUUCCAGAAACAAGCCUGGACUAUGAUGAUUCAGAAGUGAGUCAGAAAGACAGAUUCCUUUCAUCAAAGAAAUUACUUUCCAUAGAGGGAGGCAGACAAAUAAGUGAAUUUACUUGAUACUUUAUUUACAGUAUAAUUAUAGGUGCUGUGAAGGGUAAGUGAAGAUAAAUAAAAUAGCAUAAAAGGCCAAGCUUGAUGGGAAGUCUUAUUUUAGAAAAAAACUUUAUGUGGGGCUAGUAUUUGGCUGAGGUGUGAAGGAAGUGAUGGGAACUACAAAAGUAGAUGAGGGUCAUAAGCAAAAAGAAAUGGAGAAAAACUGAGUUUUGGCCUAAGCAAAAAUGAACGUAAAUGACAUUUACUUUGUGUGAGAGAGAACACAGGGAAAAUGUACAUUUGUGGGACCAGAAAGAAUUGUUUUUCGACAUGUGAAGUCUAAAAGAUAAGUGUUAGGAAGAUAGCCUGUUACAUUGUUUCAAAGUCCCAUUAAGUGCCAGAGAAGGAUAUUAUAAACAUUGGAGUCUUUCGUAUAUAGACAUCAUUUAUACCAGGCAUCCAGACAUCCUUUUCUGGCUAAUCAUUUACACCAGGCAUCCAGACAUCCUUUUCUGGCUACGACAGAGUGGUUUGUGGAAGACCCAUGCUCCCACGAUAAACAGAUUAAAAGGGAAAUAAGAUUUUUUAGAUGAAUCUGUAUGACAUCAUCAGAGAGCUGCCUCAGCAACUAGGAUCUGAGUGGGUAGAGGCCGAAGGGAUGUGACCCGGAAUAGGGGAUCUGAUUUUUGCCUGUUGGCUUUGGGCUAUUCAUAGCACAAGGGAGCCUGAAAAUCCAGGCACAAGGAGGUCUGGGCAGAGCUGCUGCUGAGAGAGAGAAGUGAGCAAAAUGAAGUGGCAAAGUUGAAAUUUGUGGAUGGCAAGGAAGCCAGGCUGUGGGUGGCCAAUAUUUCAGGGAAAAGAGGCAGAAGGACCAGACCCCAACAGAGGACUUCGUCUCUCCGUCUCCUCGAGGCAUUUGCCAAAUUCUUGGACUGCAUUGAGUAGGGGACUAAGAAAUUGGGCAGAAAGCUUCUAAAAUAGCCCACAGUCUCACAGGGCUAAGGAGGAAAAUAUCAAAUGAAUACCUUAGAAAGUAGAGGGACCUUAAGUAAACACACUACACUUUUGGUUGGGGCACCUUGAGGGGCACACCAGAAGUCACAUCUGGUGACUUGUCUUAUCACCUUGCUAUCUACCUGCCCAGCCUGAACACCUUGCUCGGUCUGGGGACCUCACUGUGGCCCCAGUGCUCACAAGUGUUGGAAGCUGCAGAUCUAUUCUGCCCACUACUGUGACUCUUAGCCCUGACCUCCACUUCCCACUCCCAGUAUUCCUGCUCGGUCCUGGCAGCAAUGUGUCUCACCAGGAUCACUGCAGGGCUCACCCACCCCUCUGGCCUCAUGAUUCCACUUACUGUUCAGGAUGCCCAUGAUGACCCUGGGCAGUGCAGCUCUCAAGACCUCCUGUCCAGACUUUUCUCACAUUCCACAUUUCCAAGUGCCCCCACUGCUGCCCCCGUGCCUGGCUUUCACCUUGUCCCAACUGGCUUCCCAGGCCUUAGAAGACCCAUGACCAUCCUGUAAAUGAGAUGCACUAUGGGAGAUUGCUUUCAUCCAUGUCAGGGAGAGUGCAGGAUGGAGAGGACCCUGGAGUGGCUGGGGGUUGGCAAGACAGAGUGUGAGGACCAAGUCACAUUCCCAGAGGUGGGGUUUAGGGAUGGGAGGGAGGGGAGUAGUGGCACUCCUGCCCUGGGUUUGCUGACCUCUGAAGCUGCCAUCUGUUACAAAAUAGCUCAGAUUCCUCCCACUGACGAGGAGGCCCCCAAGCUGCGUGGGCUCCCCAGGACACAGCUGGGUAGGGGCGGGGCACCCAGCAGUUGCUGGGCCUUCAUGCCUCCCUGACACACACAGACGGCCCUACGGGUUGGCAAGUAGGUGGCCUGGCACUGCUCACCAUGCCAAUGUUCACCCACUGUCUUUUUCUCCUUCCGUGGGCUUCCCUGAGCAUCAUCAGUGGCAUUGUCACUGGCAAAGCCCAUUAGCAAUUCCCAGGGAAUAAGAAUAGCAUCUGGGUAAUAAAGUCUAACUGUUUUUGUGUGUGCUUAGUCUAGUACCAGUUGCUCAUAGGGUGCUUCUGUGGGGCGUAAAACAUGAAUUGCAAAUCUUAGCUGCCAUCUUCAAGCUCGCCCUCUGCCCUGCCCCAGAUCUUCCGAGAAAGGAGUGUUGCAUGCGUCUGGUGCCCUGGUUUUUGUAUCUGCUGCUCAGAGAACAAAUCCCUUGGUAGCCUGGCUCUGGUGGGCUUGUGUUCACAGGCUCCACAGAAGAGAACAAAGAAACAGUUGUUAACUAGCUAUCACCCCAGGGCUCAGCACAGAGGGAGCAGAUAGAAAUGCCCAUCUCCCAGUCUUCCCCUGGAAGAGAUUGGUUUGCAUACCUAUAAAAGCUGCUGCCUGAGGGUCUGGCUUCCAAUCAGCCUGAAUCCGGGUGCCAACUGAGAUCCUCCCCUUUGGGAUGCUGACAGGUCUUGCCACAUCUUUAACUACUGGGAGCCACUAAGAAUAAAGUAGGCUGCUUGGACCAUCACAAAAGUUUCAGAGACAACCAAGAGCUAGGGCAGGGUUGAACGAUAAGUUUCAUCUACAGGAAGCUACUCCUUCAGGACAGGGAGAGGUGGCUGUGUUACCUACUUCACAGAAACCAACACAGAGUCAAGCAAGAGGAAACAGAAGACUAUAUUCCAGACUAAAGACUGAGAGAAAACCUCCGAAAAAGACAAUGAAACAGAGAUAACUGAUUUACCUGAUAAAGAGUUCAAAAUAAGAGUCAUAAAGAUGCUUACAGAGCUACGAAGAAAAGUGAAAGAGAGAGUGAGAUCCCAAGAUACAAUCAGUUUGAAAUCACCAUUCCCACCUUACAGAGAGUAAGAACAUGCAGCGACCUGAAAACCAGUUCUAACAUUCGAUGUCCUGGACUCUUCGAGCUGGAAGGAGGCUUAUCACCAAGUUUCAGUCCCAUCUGUUAUUUGUCUAGAUAUCUUCGAAUAAAAGUUUGGGAUGUAUAUCAGAAUCUAACAGAUUCUAAUGUGAACUUCUUGUUCAUAUUAAAAGUGGUGAAUAGUCAGGAUCUUGUUCAUUCACUUCAAGUAGGUAAACCAAAAAGCAGCGACUGAUUUAAAAUUAUUAUUAACAUUAUUAAUCUUAAUACAAUUAAAUUUUUAUUUUAAUUUUACAACUAGUAAAAUGGCAUAGUUCAGGGAAACAUGAACUCAGGGAAAGACUUAUGAAGGACUAGAAUUGUUGAUAGAAAAGCUACCAUAAGACCCUAUCUCGCUUUAAACCAGAACUUUUUUUUCUUUAUCACAGGUUCUUUCUAGUUAAAUCACAUUCUCUUCAAACAAGUUUCCUAUGAACCUAAUUCAGUGGAAGGAAAAAUGUGGUCUUCCCAUUGUUGUCAGGUUUGUAUUUUAUAGGCCUAUCAAUCUGAAAAAUUUUCCGUUCCAAAUUCUGAGAAAGAGGACACUUAAUUGUCCCUGAAAUGCCCAAUCUGGCUUUGGAUGAGGGAGUGGAUAAGGUUCUAGGAAAACAUGGUGGUUCUGAGAACUACAACUGCGGGUCAGGCUGGAGGUGGCAGUGUAAGGAAAGGGUCAUCACCAUUGAGCCUCACACAGGGACUGCUGUAGAAAGUACUGGAAUCAGUUGUCAAGUUCUCAGGAGAAAAGUGUCGGGUCACAAAGGAAAGGCAGGACUGCAAGCCUUCUCAGAGGAGGCCUGCACCCUCCGCAGGGGUCUCUGUGGAGGAGCGUCUUUGAUCUGUACUUUCUCCUUCCCCUGGAAAGUGACCACACAAAGGUGGAAUCCCAGGGGCUACAUUGGUGCUGGGAGAGAGGCCCUGCUGGCCAGAUUCAGUGUCCCAAAAUAGAUCCAUAAAUGCGGCAAGCAGAAUCCCUACCCCGCUGAUUUGGAGUGUAAAGUGUCACGUAGGGAGUGAGUUUGACGAAUGUGGGUGUGUUAGUUGAAAUUUCCUAGAGAUCCUGACAAGUUCAUCAGCAACUAGAGCUGCCCUGGGUCCGGCCCUUUCAGCUCACAGUGCAGAAAGAAGGCGUUGACACUUAACAAACCAGUGUGCGGAGGGACGCCCUCCGCUGUGUGGACCCCGCGAGAGAGGCCGCAGUGGCGGCAGCCCUCGAGUUUGCACCACCUGCAGCCUAUUUUUAUCAGGGCCAGAUGGACUGCAGACUUAGGCCAAUCCUUUAAAUUCAGAGCAACAGGUAGAGCAGAGGGCAGGCUGGCUGUGGGCGGGGCGUGUAAAUGGAGGGCCGGUUGCCUGACGAGGUGUUGUUCAGAAUCUUCUCCUUCCUGGACGCGUCCAGCUUGCUGCACGUCGCCCAAGUGAACAAGUACUGGAACAAGGUUGCCGAGAGUGAGCCGCUGUGGAGAAACCUGUGUCGAAGGAAAUGGAGCUUCUGCACCUUCUCCCAUCGGUGCCCCGGAGCACAGACGUGGAAGCAGUACUUCCUCAAACAAACGAGGCAGGAGCGUUGGAUGGCGUCCGCAAAGCCCGAGAACUUUGUCUACAAGGCAGCAGUUGGCAACCUCGGAAUCUUGGGACCCAUGGCUUAUCUCUCAGGAAGUGGUCCCACGAUGGAUGAAGAGAAGUCCAUCAUUUGUACCGUGUCUUCAAAGCGUAUGCUUUUUGCCUGGGAUGUGCGGGAGGGCACAAUGAUCUGGUCAAGCCCAGUUCAGCAGUCAAGCAUUAUGCACCUGGCGACCCUCCCUCAGAUGCAUCUUGCAUUCACCGUAGAUUUGAAGGGAGCCAUCAAAGUGUGGAAUUGUCAAGAUGAGGACACUCUGGCGACCCUCAUCAUGUCUCAGGCCUGUCUCUCCUUGGAAGCCUUUCUCACAAAGGAUGGCCCAUUCCUGAUGGUAGGCACUUGUGAAGGCGACAUCUACACACUGACGGUGCCUGAGUUAAAGACUGUUUCUAAAGUUAACGCAUUUAAAUACAGAGUUGAUCUUCUCUACUGCUCUCCUGACAAGAGGUGGAUCUUUGCAUCUGGGACACAUGAAUGUAUCUUGCCAAAGGUAUUUUUCACUGAGUGCUUACUGAGACCAUCAGAAGGCAGAACGCCUCUGUCUCUCUCUCUCCCGUUAUCAUCAUGCUGCAGAGCCUGCUGGGCCCCAAGGAGGACAAACAGGGUAACACUGAUGUUCCAAAAAGACGCUUUAAAAAAGACAGGAUUCACCACCUUGGAUCUAACAACUGAGGGGACUGGGGGCAGGACAUUCAUCCAAGCACAUGAGGUUGCAAGUUUCCUGUUGCCAGUUCACAUGGAGAGUCCUAUUUGGAUGGGAGUCAGUGAUGGAAAUACGAUUGUCUUUGAGAGUGGGCCAUACCUCUUCCUCGUCAGCAUCAGUGGCCACCUGCUGCAGCGGUUUGAGUACCACGACAAGACCAUCUGCAACUUAUGGGUGGAUUCUCUCCAUGUCCUGACGACAUCCGUGGAUGACUCUCUGCACGUGUACAUGUGGGAAGAGGAAGGCCGUUAUCCGUACCUCAGGAGCUGCUGUCACUUGGAACACAUAGGAAGUGAUCAGACACCGAGCUGAGUGUUAACUGUUAAUUUAUGUUUGACUUGAUAAGAAACUGGAAAACUCUUGCCCAGAGAGUUGUAUGUUUAUUCAUGCCCACCAGCAACAUAUGGGAGCUCCAGUUACUCCAUAUGCUAUGUUCCCAAGGCAAUAUGUGAUAAUAAGAGCAUAGUAUGCGUGGUGUCAAGAAUUCGUGAAUCCAGCAUUCUGGUGAUGUAUUCUUUGAAUAUGUAAUACUGAAACUAAUGGAAUUAACCUUCCAUCAUCUUCCUCAAUGUAGUAAAGAGUUUUGUUGGCAAACCCAGAAUGAUUAUUUCUGCAAUAUGAGGAUAGAGGCAAUGAUUCCUAUCUGUAGUGAAUCAGACGCUGUGACAGAUACUGUAGAUCGGGCACUGCGCAGAGAGAAUGUGGAUACUAUAUCCUUUGUCCCUGCCAUCGGGAAGAGUAUAAAAUACUAAGGUAGUAAAAUGUGAAUGGUCACACAAAUUUAUAAUGCCACACAAUUCACCAGAAGUAUAUUAUGGGGGAAAUAGUGAAUUUCGAUUGAGGCUGGUUUCAAGGUGAAAGCAUCUGUAUCAGUCCAUCAGUGUUCUUACCUAUAAGCAAAGAAAAAUAAAUCCUGUAAAAUUUAAGUAAAAAAAUGUAUUAGUAAAACUUGGAGGUUAAUAGUUAAAGGUAGCUGGAAGAGACUCAGAAUACAGAUGGCAAUGAAAACCGCUCAAGAGGACUAGGAUAGAAAAUAUGUCGCAGUCUGAAUCACAUGAAUGUUUGGAUUUGCAUAUCACCACAGCCACUGUAAUGGACAUGAUAAAGAAUCCUUGUAUCUCUAGCUCCGGGAUCAGAGUUCUCGGGGAGAGCACUAAAAAUUCAAACCUAAGACACACGGAUCAACUCUUCUGGCUUUGUGGUGAGGGGAGGAUUGGAAGAAAAAUGAUUGAGGGGGUAGAUAGUACUGUAAUGGAAAUGUAAUCUCAGAUUCUCCAAAGAGUGGUGUGGAUAUCUAGAUUGCUAAAGUAUCUGGUCUAAACAUUUAAGUCUUUAAUCCAUUUUGAGUUUCAUUUUUGUACGUGGUGUUAGAGAAUGUUCUGAUUUCAGGCUGUCACAGGUAGCUAUCCAGUUUUCCCAGCACCGCUUAAUCACCCUGCCCCUUUCCCUGGGAGGGGGGCUCGGGCUCUGGGCCCCCUCGUGGGCCCCUCUGUGUCGUGGGCUCCAUGACUGGACCAGGUUCCUGGGCCCUUGGUGGGGCCCAGCCAGGCCCAGGUCCUCCUCGGCUCCUCGCCCUUCCGCCUCUCCAGGUACUUCACCCAGGCCUCUGGUCUCCCAUCUGCUCCCCUGCGCACCUCCAGUGGCCUCGUCUGUGGUUCCUGCUCAUUCUGUCCACUUUCACUUCCUGUAGCUGAGGCCAGUCCUAAAUAUUUAGGAGUUUUUUAUGUCUGUGUUUUGAUGCUUUUCUCAUUAUGAACAUUUCCUUCUUAUUUCUAGUAAUACUUACUGCUAUGUGAAUACUUUUCAGCGUCCACCGUGUAAAUUCUCAGGUAGGAAUUUCCGUUAAGGAGUCACCGAGGUGCAGGGAGAAGCUGGGCUUCUGCUUGAACGGGGGUGUGUGUGUCCUUCGAUCAGGAAGUGACAUUUUCUGCAGUUCCUUCUCUGCCUUAGAAGUCAUUGUAACCCAGGUAAACACACCAGUUUCCAAAUGAACAUAUUGUACUACUUUUAAAAUUACAGUUUCUAAAUAUUUCGUUUUGUCCUCCACUUUAAGUUUAUGCCAGUUAAUCUGAGGAACAUAUUUUACAGCCACCACAGAGGAAAGGAUUAUUAAUCCUCCUAAAAGUAACAUUUUGGUAAGAAAGAGUAUGACAGAGAUUUAUUUGAAUUAGUUGUUUCUCUCCAUUGUUUCUUUUAAUUAAAAAUAUAGUAUCACUAAAGACACAUUUUAAGUGGACAGAAUUAUGGAUUGCUCACUGAAAUAUGAUUUUUAAAAAUAUCUUGGGUUUUUAUUUUUAGUGAAGUCUAGUUGAUUGCCAACAUGUUAUUUUUUAAACUUGUUUUAGAGUUAGUCAUUUUUCAAUGUUGUCAAAU